CAAACUCCAAGCGUGGCUUGAUGUUGGCCGACGUUCCGAGAGGGACGCGGCUGGAACGCGUUGGCGCCGCCGCCGGACCACGAGCGUAGCAAGACGAGAGUCGCAUCGCAUCGUUGGGGUCGGACGGACGGCCGCGGCAAGAGCAUUUAUGCAGCACAA
rnacentral:misc_RNA from 1 species